AAAUCCCUUCGGGAAACUGAAAAAGUUUGAACACGUUAAUGGUGUCGUUUGGUUGACGCCUUGAUAGCGUCUUUAAAAAAUGGUGAAUAAAUUGUGCUUCGUCGAUGAUUGUCAAACUCAAAGUGAUCAAGAAAAUGGCCCUGUCACAUUCUUCCGUCCACCAAAGGAUAAUUUUGACAAAUGGAAAAAGAAAAAAAAAAACACUUUUGCAAAGUUCUCGUCUAUGCUGGAAGCAUUUUGCUGAGGAAGACAUCGUUAAGGGGAAAAUGAUAGGAGAAGAAUUUGUCCACCAGGAACGAUGGUGCAUUAAAAAAGGCGCUAAGCCAAAGCAUCUUCUAGACACUGCUACAAGAACAAGAAAUAUUCAUCGACCACUGACAACUUUGAGUACAAAUCAAGUUGUGAAGAAGAAACAUUAUUCAAGAUCAAAGAACAUUUCUUACAUUUUGGGUUUUCCAUGUAGAGAAUCCUCCGCUGUUGUCUCAAACAAUACCAUCACACAAUGUAGCUCAAACCCAAUUGACGUGUCAUUGCCACUUGACUCUGCCAACAUUUCUAUUACGUCACAGCCAGAACACAUACGAUAGAAUUAAAUGGCCAUUCAACAGCUGAUGUGCCUUUUUUUUAGCAAGUUAACCUGGCUGAGGCUUCUGUUGGAUAUGCAGAUUCUGCCAUAGAUGCACUUGCCUUUCAAUCUUUACAAAAGAAUGUGAAACUUCCAUCUAACUCUUGGAACUGGAAUUAUUACGGCAAAACCGCUGCCUGCAUGACAUGGUUGGAUACCGAUUAUGGAAAUGUUGUGAUAAAGACACUAACAGUUCUAUCAAUAACAAGGUUGCCCUACCACAUUGGAGGUAAACUAGUUUAAUUGCCGAAUGGCAAAUGUAGCUAUCGCGACUAUGACGAACUAAGUGGUUUUAUCAAAACCCUCGACCGCCAGAAUGUGUGCAAAGGAAUCGCGAAUUCUUUGGUAGUGAACGUUACGGAAAAAUUCGCUUUUUCAAGGGAUGGCGAUGUUUCUCGGUCGUCACGCUGUAGUUCUUUAUCAAAUCCGAACAGUGAGCUUUGCACUGGAUGUUCGAAGGCUCUGAGGUACAUCAGGACGAGAAGCGUCAUUAACAAAAAUAGAGUGAUUUGAAAGAGGAAGCUGGCUGUGAAGAAUAAAAAAAUUAGGCGAAUGAAGUCACGAGAAGUGGUCUGAAUCACUUCUUGUCGGUGUGGUUUGAAGGAUCGUGAAACUAAAUGAGUUUUAAUCGGUAAACUAUAAGCUCUACAUUUGAAAAAAAUUGCAGAAAUGGAUAGCUCUUGAUAAGAUCUAUCCAUUUGUGUAAAAUUAUCGCA